GCCGGGGCCGGGCUGAAGGGGUUUGGGGCCGUGCCGGGGCCGGGCCGCCGGAGCCGCCCCCGGGAGGCGGGCUCCCCUCACGGCUGCUAUAAGAGGGCGGCGGCGGGGCCGCGCUCACUCGCUCCUCAGCGCUGCCGCCAGGCCCCGAGGUAGAAGAAAGCGCUGAAGGGGCAGCAAAAGUAGAUGUAGAACAGCGAAAGGGUGGAAAGAAGGCAGUUGUGGAACCAACCAUGAUGGGGGAGUGUUUUGAAAUCAAACCACUGUUCUAAGAAGAAAACUUAAGCUCAGCAGAUCUACACAGCAGUCAAGCUCAGAGGUCAUUU
rnacentral:lncRNA from 1 species